rnacentral:lncRNA from 10 species
AUUACAACUAGGAUUGGUAGACUCCUGAAGUUUCUCUUGUUUCGUUUUGGCUUAAAUUUUUACUGGAAUUAAAAAAAAUCAUUUUUCUUGCUGUUCUAGUUGAAAGCACAUUUUCUUUUUUUAUACGUAAGUUUUCUCCCUUUAAAUGUCCUGUGAUACAGACUCCCCCAUGAAUAAUGUUAUACUGCAGUUUGGUCUCUGGCAUCAUUUUUACUUCUUCACUUUAGAAAAAUCAGGUCUCCUUCAGUGCUGAGAUGUGCAUCCUUUCUUGAGUCACCGGGGAGGGCCACCAUGUGAUUGGACGCCACAUCCUGCAGUACUCAUGCACACAGUGUCACCCACAUUUGUAAUCGCAAAGGCAUUCUGAUGUUAUUAAUGACACCUUCUACUUGCACAGUACUGUUUAUAUAUUAUUAGGCAAUUAUACACAUUUCCUCACUGGAUCUUCCUCGCAAGACUCUUUUGAUGCAGGCAUGGCACGCACUAUUCUUUAAGAAGGAAAGAAUGGAAGAUCAGAGAUAGCAAGUCACAAAGAACCCAAGAGGUGAGAUUGAGGGAAGAACCCACGUACUCUGGCCCCUGGUUCAAGACUCAAUCACUAUGUCACAUCAUCUUUCCUCUCCAAAGAAACAGACAUUUCCUUCAGCCCUGAACUAAACUGAAAACCUUCUUUGAAAUCACUAUGAAACCUGAUUUCAUAUCAAUUCACAUGUCAUCAGAACUUUUGCUGCUAGUUGGGGAUGGGACAAUAGAUCUCUUAGAGUCACCAAUAACCUGUCAGCUUUAUGAUCAAUAUGCCUGUUAUUUUUUUGCUUCACAUCCCUGAGGCACGACAGGAAGAAGCAAUUUCUGAGUGUGAUUCUUCAUAUACUUUAUUUUCUCUUAUUUUUCUCUUUUCUUUAAAUAAAAGGGAAAUUUUUGUUUUAAGAAAAAAAGGAAAAGAUGGUACUGAUAUCACACAUAAAUUAUUUUCUAUUUGACUUUUCAACAUGACAAGUUCAUGAAAUUGAUUUUUAGGUGCGUUAGUUGGCAUCUUCAAUUCUUUUCCGAUUUUUCAUGCUAUCUUUGUAAUCUACUGUUAAUACAGGAAGUGCUUGAAACUCUGGGCCCCAUGUAUGAACUUGUCUAAUUUCCAAAUCUUAGGAAAAUACACUGAGAAUAAACUACAGAAUAAUGAAUUUGGAUAUCUGGGUAAUCAGCUUUCAGGAGAAGAAAUAUGAGGUAUUCCAUAGUUUCCAUAUCUCGGCUCUGAUCACUCUCAAGCUAUUUUGGCAAAGAAAAUAGCCUCUCUUAUUUGUACCACAAAAUGCAUUAUUAUGAUCAAAAGAGAAAAAAAUGGGAUUUUAAGGUAAGUCAUCUAGAUGUUAGCAUCCAUGUUUUAUGAUGUAAGAAGAACCACUUCUACACUUUGACAAAUACAAGCUCUCACCUUUGCAACUUGUAUCACUAUGAUGGCAUCCAGGAUAAUAUUCACAUUUUCCUGUACUGACUGUAGCGAGGGCGUCAAUGUUUCAGCAUUUGGGUGUCUGUUGUUUUGAGAAUCUACUCAAAGUCUCCGAAUACUUUUCUUUUGGAUUACUUCAGUUCUCUGUAAUAACAGAUCUGAUAGAGUUUAUAAGCCAAGUUAAAACACCUGGCAUGGUGGCAUGCGCCUGUAGUCCCAGCUACUUGGGAGGCUUAGGUGGGAGGAUUGCUUGAGACCAGGAGGUUGAGGCUGCAGUGAGCUAUGAUUGUGUCACUGCACUCCAGGGUCUCACUCUGCUGCUCCAUCCUGGGCAAUAGAGUGAGACCCUGUUUCUAAAAAAAUUUUUAUUUAUUUAUUUAUUUUUAUUAUUUUUUAUUUUUUGAGACGGAGUCUCACUCUGUUGCCCAGGCUGGAGUGCAGUGGCGCAAUCUCAGCUCACUGUAACCUCUGCCUCCCGGUUUCAUGCCAUUCUCCUGCCUCAGCCUCCCGAGUAGCUGGGACUACAGGCACCUGCCACCAUGCCCGGCUAAUUUUUUGUGUUUUUAGUAGAGAUGGGGUUUCACCAUGUUAGCCAGGAUGGUCUCGAUCUCCUAACCUCGUGAUCCACCUGCCUCGGCCUCCCAAAGUGCUGGGAUUACAGGCGUGAGCCACAGUGCCUGGCUCUAAAAAAAAUUUUGCUUAAGUUACAAAAAAUAAACAUAUGUAUAGUCAGAAUUAUAAGACUGCCUGCAUAUUCAGAGCAUGAGGUCUUACCCUGACAGAUGUUUGUUGACCUAUGAAACUGACCAAACUGCCAUCAUUGCAAUAUAGCUACGUCUAUCUUAAUGAAAUCACAUGUUGUUUACACCUGUACUUGAAGAUACAUCUUUUUCAAGCCUAUUCAGCAUUAAGCAGCACCUACAAUAAAAGAUCCUUUACCACAAAUGAAAACAAAGAUAUGUUCACGGAUUUGAAUAUUAAUCUCGUGUGGAUUUGUAACAUUGUAAAGUAAGACCUGAGGUGAUCCAGAGGGAAAAGAAGUUGUGGCUUCUUCUCAUACACACUUAAGCCCAGAAGGUGGCCUAAUGCUCUUACAAUCUUUCAAUGGAAAUUUUGAUAAAGAAAAUGACGUGGUGUUUAUGAAAUACAGGAAACACCGAAUAUCUUUCUUAUUUUUCAUAACAACACAUCUAUUUAUAAUUACUUGUUAAGAGAUUAAGAAACAAUAAUAAUUUUGGAGAAACUGACAAUUAGAGCAAAUCCGUAGGUGAUUUUUAAAUACUUAGUAUAAACAGAUACAUUUUCUUCCUCUGAAAAUAUUGAAUGCUUAUAAUUAUAGUUUAUAAGAAUAAAGAACUCUUUCUCCUCAGUAGAUGAAGAUUGAAGUUUGUGAAUCGCUGCAAAUGUAUAUGCCGAGAAAACAACUGAAUUUAUUUUAAUUUAAAAUGCUCUUAUUCAGCUUAGCAAAUAAUGGGCCUGUAGUUAGAAAAGAAUAUGCAUGAAGAAAAAGUAAGAUAAAUACACAGUAGAAGUGGGCCAACAUUUUCCGGGGCCUCAGGCAAAUAUUUAUCCAUUCUCAGCCUCAGUUUCCUUAACUGAAAAAGAGUGCCAACCUCAUAGUAUUAAUAGAAGGAUUAAACGAAAAAAAAUGUGAAGUGUUUAGCAGGAUACCUAGCACACAGUAAAUGAUCAGACAUUUUAAUAAUUUAUUUUGCAAAUGCUAUUCAAUAUCUUGAGUGCAUAUUGAUAUAAAGCUUAUUUGAAAUUUCUACAAGAUAAAUGCUUUCCAG